rnacentral:rRNA from 1 species
GAAUCCCGUCUUUGACACGGACUACCAAUGCUUUGUGAUGCGCUCUCAAAGAGUCGAGUUGUUUGGGAAUGCAGCUCAAAAUGGGUGGUAAAUUCCAUCUAAAGCUAAAUAUAGGCGAGAGACCGAUAGCGAACAAGUACCGUGAGGGAAAGAUGAAAAGCACUUUGGAAAGAGAGUUAAACAGUACGUGAAAUUGCUGAAAGGGAAACGCUUGAAGUCAGUCAUGUCUGCCAGGACUCAGCCUUGCUUCUGCUCGGUGUACUUUCUGGUCGGAUGGGCCAACAUCAAUUUUGACCGUUGGAGAAAGGCUUUGGGAAUGUGGCACCUUCGGGUGUGUUAUAGCCCUCGGUCGUAUACAACGGUUGGGAUUGAGGACUGCAGCACGCCUUUAUGGCCGGGGUUCGCCCACGUACGUGCUUAGGAUGUUGGCAUAAUGGCUUUAAGCGACCCGUCUUGAAACACGGACCAAGGAGUCUAACAUGCCUGCGAGUGUUUGGGUGGAAAACCCAUGCGCGUAAUGAAAGUGACAGCUGAGAUCCUCUCAUCAGGAGCAUCAGCACCUGGACUUGAUCUACGGAGACGGUUCUACGGUAGAGCAUGUAUGUUGGGACCCGAAAGAUGGUGAACUAUGCCUGAAUAGGGUGAAGCCAGAGGAAACUCUGGUGGAGGCUCGUAGCGAUUCUGACGUGCAAAUCGAUCGUCAAAUUUGGGUAUAGGGGCGAAAGACUAAUCGAACCAUCUAGUAGCUGGUUCC